AGAACGAACGCUGGCGGCAUGCCUAACACAUGCAAGUCGAACGCUCACCGGGCUUCGGUUCGGUGGGAGUGGCGCACGGGUGAGUAGCGCGUGGGAACCUGCCCUGUUGUGGGGGAUAACCGAGGGAAACUUCGGCUAAUACCGCAUGCGCCCGGGGAAACCCGGGGAAAGAUUUAUCGCAGCAGGAGGGGCCCGCGUCGGAUUGGGUAGUUGGUAGGGUAACGGCCUACCAAGCCUGUGAUCCGUAGCUGGUCUGAGAGGAUGAUCAGCCACACUGGGACUGAGACACGGCCCAGACUCCUACGGGAGGCAGCAGUGGGGAAUAUUGGACAAUGGGCGCAAGCCUGAUCCAGCCAUGCCGCGUGAGUGAUGAAGGCCCUAGGGUUGUAAAGCUCUUUGUGCGGGAAGAUAAUGACGGUACCGCAAGAAUAAGCCCCGGCUAACUUCGUGCCAGCAGCCGC
rnacentral:rRNA from 1 species